GAAAGUAAAGAAGGGCGCAUGGCGGAUGCCUUGGCUCUCGGAGGCGAUGAAGGACGUGAUAAGCUGCGAUAAGCUUUGGGGAGGUGCAAAUGACCUUUGAUCCAGAGAUUUCCGAAUGGGACAACCCAAUAUCUUGAAGAGGUAUUAUCCAACGUUGUUGGAGGCUAACGCAGGGAACUGAAACAUCUUAGUACCUGCAGGAAAAGAAAAUAAACAAUGAUUCCCCCAGUAGUGGCGAGCGAACGGGGAACAGCCCAAACCAUCCAUGUUACGGCAUGGGUGGGGUUGUAGGACUACGCCGUUGCAUGAAGACAUCAGAGAAGAACUUUCUGGAAAGAAAGACCAUAGAGCAUGACAGUUGCGUAUUCGAAUGUUGUCGAAGCAUAGUAGUAUCCUGAGUAGCGCGGAGCACGAGGAAUUCUGCGUGAAUCUGCCGGGACCAUCCGGUAAGGCUAAAUACUCCCGAGAGACCGAUAGCGAACCAGUACCGUGAGGGAAAGGUGAAAAGCACUUCGAACAGAAGAGUGAAAUAGUUCCUGAAACCGUGCGCCUACAAGCGGUCGGAGCUCGUUAAUGAGUGACGGCGUGCCUUUUGCAUAAUGAACCUACGAGUUGCCUUUGCCGGCAAGGUUAAGUGUGACGACACACGUAUCCGAAGCGAAAGCGAGUCUGAACAGGGCGUAUAGUCGGCAGUGGCAGACGCGAAACCAAGUGAUCUACCCUUGGCCAGGUUGAAGGCUGGGUAACACCAGCUGGAGGACCGCACCAAUAAGCGUUGAAAAGCUUCUGGAUGAGCUGAGGGUAGGGGUGAAAGGCUAAUCAAACUUGGAGAUAGCUCGUACUCCCCGAAAUGCAUUUAGGUGCAGCCUUGCGGGUUACUGAUGUGAGGUAGAGCGACUGAUAAGAUGCGAGGGCUUCACCGCCUAUCAAGUCUUGACAAACUCCGAAUGCGCAUCAGUUCUACCGCAGGAGUGAGGGCAUGGGUGCUAAGGUCCGUGCCCGAGAGGAGAAGAAUCCGGACCACCUGCUAAGGUCCCGAAAUGACAGCUAAGUUAAACUAACGAAGUCUGACUGCUAAGACAGCUAGGAUGUUGGCUUGGAAGCAGCCAUUCAUUUAAAGAGUGCGUAACAGCUCACUAGUCGAGGAGUCGGGCGUGGAUAAUAAUCGGGUAUCAAGUUGUCUACCGAAGCAGUGGGAUCAUUAAUAUGAUCGGUAGGGGAGCAUUCCAGUCAGCGUCGAAGGCGUACCGUGAGGUAUUCUGGAGCGUCUGGAAAAGCAAAUGUAGGUAUAAGUAACGAUAAAGGGGGCGGGAAACCCCCUCGCCGAAAGACUAAGGUUUCCUGAUCAACGCUAAUCGGAUCAGGGUCAGUCGGGUCCUAAGGCUCAGCCGAACGGCGAUGCCGAUGGCAGAAACGGUUAAUAUUCCGUUACUACCUUCAGGAGUGACGUGGAGACGCAGUAGUGACAGUGCCGCCAUCUGACGGAAUAGAUGGUUGAAGGGUGUAGGAGUCGAUCAUGGCAGGCAAAUCCACCAUGAGAUCCGAACCUGACAGUAUGCCGCGUCCUUCGGGACAAGGCAAUAGUGCGCGUAAGCAUGCUGCCGAGAAAAUCCGCUAAACUUAAUCCUGCAGGUACCCGUACCGCAAACGGACACACGUAGUCGGGAUGAAUAUUCUAAGGCGCUUGAGUGAUUCACGGUUAAGGAACUAGGCAAACUGACCCUGUAACUUCGGGAUAAAGGGUCCCUACCCUUUUAUGGGAGGGCGCAGAGAAUCGGUCCAGGCAACUGUUUAACAAAAACACAGGGCUGUGCCAAAUCGAAAGAUCCAGUAUACAGCCUGACACCUGCCCGGUGCUGGAAGGUUAAGAGGAGAUGUCAUCGAUAAGAGAAGCGUUGAAUUGAAGCCCCAGUAAACGGCGGCCGUAACUAUAACGGUCCUAAGGUAGCGAAAUUCCUUGUCGGGUAAGUUCCGACCUGCACGAAUGGUGUAAUGAUCUGGACGCUGUCUCAACCGUGAGCUCAGUGAAAUUGUAGUAUCGGUGAAGAUGCCGAUUACCCGCGAUGGGACGAAAAGACCCCGUGAACCUUUACUAUAGCUUAUCAUUGAAUCUGGGCACGUGAUGUGUAGGAUAGGUCGGAGGCUUUGAAGCAGGUACGCCAGUAUUUGUGGAGCCGCUGUUGAAAUACGACCCUUUAUUUGUUUGGAUUCUAACCCGUGGAACGGGGACAUUGAUUGGUGGGUAGUUUGACUGGGGUGGUCGCCUCCAAAAGCGUAACGGAGGCUUCUAAAGGUGCCCUCCGGCCGAUUGGUAACCGGCCUUAGAGUGUAAUGGCAUAAGGGCGCUUGACUGGGAGACUAACAAGUCGAUCAGGUAGGAAACUAGAGCAUAGUGAUCCGGUGUUUCCGUAUGGAAGGGACAUCGCUCAAAGGAUAAAAGGUACUCCGGGGAUAACAGGCUGAUCCCUCCCAAGAGCUCAUAUCGACG
rnacentral:rRNA from 1 species